rnacentral:snRNA from 1 species
AACGGUGGAUAACGUCGGUUAAU